rnacentral:rRNA from 1 species
UACGUAGGGGGCAAGCGUUGUCCGGAUUUAUUGGGCGUAAAGAGCGUGUAGGCGGUCUGGUAGGUCCGUUGUGAAAACUCGAGGCUCAACCUCGAGACGCCGAUGGAAACCAUCAGACUAGAGUCCGGAAGAGGAGAGUGGAAUUCCUGGUGUAGCGGUGAAAUGCGCAGAUAUCAGGAAGAACACCCGUGGCCAAGGCGGCUCUCUAGUACGGUACUGACGCUGAGACGCGAAAGCGUGGGGAGCGAACAGG